UUUCCGUAGGUGAACCUGCGGAAGGAUCAUUCAUAAUAAGUGUUUUAUGGGUCUUUUUUAAAUCCAUAUACACCUUGUGUGAAAUGUCAGGGUAGAUUUUUCUCUCGAGAGUAUCAGUCGAAUACAUCAACUAUAUCUCAACUCAUAGACUGAAAAAUAUUAAGAAUAAAACACAUCAAAAAACAACUUUCAACAACGGAUCUCUUGGCUCUC
rnacentral:misc_RNA from 1 species